UUAGAGUGUCUUUAGGGCACUUGCCCUUCGAUGGGUGGUGCUUCUGACCGUGGCCGUGGCUGGGGGUGGGGGUGGUGGGUGUCGUUGGUGUUGGUGUUGGUGUUGGUGUUGUUGGUGGUGUUGGAGGGCAUGGGACAGAAUUGGAAGUGACUAAUGUGAAGAAGAGUAGGUUGAGAAGAAGGAGAAGGGUAGCUUUGGAAGCCAUUGAUUUUGAAGAUACUUGAAAACUUGUUUUGUUAAUGCAAGAGAGUUUAUAUUUUCGGCUGGGGUUGUGG
rnacentral:lncRNA from 1 species